UUUAGUUACUUUAGUUACUCCACUACAUACAUCUGUUCCAGCUUUAGUUACUCAUGCAGUAAAAGUACGGCAGUAUUCUCAUUCUCUACAUUGAGCCCUUCUGCCCAUUUUUUUGAUGAAACAUACUUUUAUACAUCCAUUUCAAUGCAGGACCUUUACUGUAACAGAGUAUUUUAACAGUGUGGUAUUAGUACUAGUAUCUGAAUACUCCUAAUGACAGAGUAUUUUAACAGUGUGGUAUUAGUACUAGUAUCUGAAUACUCCUAAUGACAGAGUAUUUUAACAGUGUGUAUUUUAACAGUGUGGUAUUAGUACUAGUAUCUGAAUACUCCUAAUGACAGAGUAUUUUAACAGUGUGGUAUUAGUACUAGUAUCUGAAUACUCCUAAUGACAGAGUAUUUUAACAGUGUGGUAUUAGUACUAGUAUCUGAAUACUCCCAAUGACAGAGUAUUUUAACAGUGUGGUAUUAGUACUAGUAUCUGAAUACUCCCAAUGACAGAGUAUUUUAACAGUGUGGUAUUAGUACUAGUAUCUGAAUACUCCUAAUGACAGAGUAUUUUAACAGUGUGGUAUUAGUACUAGUAUCUGAAUACUCCUAGUGACAGAGUAUUUUAACAGUGUGGUAUUAGUACUAGUAUCUGAAUACUCCUAAUGACAGAGUAUUUUAACAGUGUGGUAUUAGUAAUAGUAUCUGAAUACUCCUAAUGACAGAGUAUUUUAACAGUGUGGUAUUAGUACUAGUAUCUGAAUACUCCUAGUGACAGAGUAUUUUAACAGUGUGUAUUUUAACAGUGUGGUAUUAGUACUAGUAUCUGAAUACUCCCAAUGACAGAGUAUUUUAACAGUGUGGUAUUAGUACUAGUAUCUGAAUACUCCUAAUGACAGAGUAUUUUAACUGUGUAUUUUAACAGUGUGGUAUUAGUACUAGUAUCUGAAUACUCCUAGUGACAGAGUAUUUUAACAGUGUGUAUUUUAACAGUGUGGUAUUAGUACUAGUAUCUGAAUACUCCUAAUGACAGAGUAUUUUAACAGUGUGGUAUUAGUACUAGUAUCUGAAUACUCCUAAUGACAGAGUAUUUUAACAGUGUGGUAUUAGUACUAGUAUCUGAAUACUCCUAAUGACAGAGUAUUUUAUCAGUGUGGUAUUAGUACUAGUAUCUGAAUACUCCUAGUGACAGAGUAUUUUAACAGUGUGGUAUUAGUACUAGUAUCUGAAUACUCCUAGUGACAGAGUAUUUUAACAGUGUGGUAUUAGUACUAGUAUCUGAAUACUCCUAGUGACAGAGUAUUUUAACAGUGUGGUAUUAGUACUAGUAUCUGAAUACUCCUAGUGACAGAGUAUUUUAACAGUGUGGUAUUAGUACUAGUAUCUGAA